AGUAACUGCGAGUGAAGCGGGAAAAGCUCAAAUUUUGAAUCUGGCGGUCUUUGUGGCCGUCCGAGUUGUAAUCUAGAGAAGCGUCUUCCGCGCUGGACCGUGUACAAGUCUCCUGGAAGGGAGCGUCAUAGAGGGUGAGAAUCCCGUCUUUGACACGGACCACCAGUGCUAUGUGAUGCGCUCUCGACGAGUCGAGUUGUUUGGGAAUGCAGCUCAAAAUGGGUGGUAAAUUCCAUCUAAAGCUAAAUACAGGCGAGAGACCGAUAGCGAACAAGUACCGUGAGGGAAAGAUGAAAAGGACUUUGGAAAGAGAGUUAAACAGUACGUGAAAUUGCUGAAAGGGAAACGCUUGAUGUCAGUCGCGUCUGCCAGGGAUCAACCUUGCUUUGAUUAGCUGGGUGCAUUUCUUGGUCAGAUGGGUCAGCAUCAGUUUCAAUCGUCGUAGAAUGGCCUAGGGAAUGUGGCACCUCUAGGGGUGUGUUAUAGCCUUGGGUCGUAUGCGUUGGUAGGGACUGAGGAACUCGGCACGACCUUCGGUGGUGUGUGUCUAGGAUGCUGGCAUAAUGGCAUUAAGCGACCCGUCUUGAAACACGGACCAAGGAGUCUAACAUGCCUGCGAGUGUUUGGGUGACAAACUCGAGCGCGUAAUGAAAGUGAAAGUCGAGAUCUCUGUCGUGGAGAGCAUCGACGCCCGGACCUGAGUCUUUGACGAAGGAUCUGC
rnacentral:rRNA from 1 species